GACGAACGCUGGCGGCGUGCUUAACACAUGCAAGUCGAACGGAAAGGCCCUGCUUUUGUGGGCUGCUCGAGUGGCGAACGGGUGAGUAACACGUGAGUAACCUGCCCUUGACUUUGGGGUAACUUCAGGAAACUGGGGCUAAUACCGGCUAGGAGCUCCUGCUGCAUGGUGGGGGUUGGAAAGUUUCGGCGGUUGGGGAUGGAAUAGCGUCUCAUCAGCUUGUUGGUGGGGUAGUGGAUUACCAAGGCUUUGACGCGUAGCCGGGCUGGGAGGGGGACCGGCUCCAUUGCGCUUGGGAUGAGGCACGGACUCGAAUGGUACGCAACGGUGGAGUAUAUUAUACUGUACGCGGGACCCUGAUGUGGCACAGCCGCGUGGGGGAAGACGGCCUGCGGGUAGUGUACCGAUUUUGCCUGUGACGAAGCGAUAGUGACAGUACCGGGUAAAGAAGCACCGGCUAACUACGUG
rnacentral:rRNA from 1 species